CUUCUCACCUGCGUACGUAACGGACCAGCUCUGUCUUCAAGACGCCGUGAGAACUCACCUGUACGUCUUGAGACGUCAGAACUAACAGCCUUCGGUUCCUGGAGAGUCUAAGAGCCCUUCAGAGACCUUAAAGACUGGGAAAAGGUCGCCAACCUCUCCCAAGACACUUCUGGAAAAGUUCAGGGUCAGACCAGGCAUGGACGGAAGAGAACAGGAGACAAUGGAGGAGAAAAAGGAGUCCGGGUCAGAGGAUUCCGGGUCUAAAGAGUCGAGUUGGAAGAAAAGGAAGGAAGACGAGGAGGCGCUGCGGGAGGCUGCAGAGGAAGGAAACACGGACAGAGUGAAGCAGCUGUUAGCGGGGGGAGUCAACCCUAAUGCUGCUGGUGG